GAGAGAGGCAUGAUCGUAGCGAUGACUGCUAAUUUUCGCACUCUUGGUUUGAAUCCGGGACUCUCUCAA
ensembl:Mt_tRNA